CUCCUACGGGAGGCAGCAGUAGGGAAUCUUCCGCAAURGGCGMRAGCCUGACGGAGCAACGCCGCGUGAGUGAUGAAGGUCUUAGGAUCGUAAAACUCUGUUGUUAGGGAAGAACAAAUUUGUUAGUAACUGAACAAGUCUUGACGGUACCUAACCAGAAAGCCACGGCUAACUACGUGCCAGCAGCCGCGGUAAUAC
rnacentral:rRNA from 1 species